UCCUCAGUAGCUCAGUGGUUGAGCAGUCGGCUGUUAACUGACUGGUCGUAGGUUCAAAACGUGGGGAA